GCUGGACUUGGUGGAGCACAUCUGUAAUGUCCCCGUCUGAGAGACUGAGGUUGCUGGACUGCUUGAAGCAGGGGUUGCGGUACUCGUGUGCGCUAUGGCGAACAGGAGUCCUGGUGACGGUCUUCCUUGACAUGGUCUGCUUGGGGAGCCUUGGCACACCAGGUGGUCUAGGGAGAGGUGAACCAACCCAGGCCGGUGACAGAGCAGGUGAACGCCCCUGUGCCGAGCGGUCUGUGAGUAGCAUCUACAGUGCUGCCAAGACGACACAGCAGGACACAGCUUUUU
ensembl:misc_RNA Metazoa_SRP Metazoan signal recognition particle RNA